rnacentral:rRNA from 1 species
UACGUAGGGUGCGAGCGUUAAUCGGAAUUACUGGGCGUAAAGCGUGCGCAGGCGGUUCGUUAAGUCAGAUGUGAAAGCCCCGGGCUCAACCUGGGAACUGCAUUUGAAACUGGCGGGCUUGAGUGUGGCAGAGGGGGGUGGAAUUCCACGUGUAGCAGUGAAAUGCGUAGAGAUGUGGAGGAAUACCGAUGGCGAAGGCAGCCCCCUGGGCCAAUACUGACGCUCAUGCACGAAAGCGUGGGGAGCAAACAGG